CCUACGGGAGGCAGCAGUCGAGAAUCAUUCACAAUGGGGGAAACCCUGAUGGUGCGACGCCGCGUGGGGGAAUGAAGGUCUUCGGAUUGUAAACCCCUGUCAUGUGGGAGCAAAUUAAAAAGAUAGUACCACAAGAGGAAGAGACGGCUAACUCUGUGCCAGCAGCCGCGGUAAUACAGAGGUCUCAAGCGUUGUUCGGAAUCACUGGGCGUAAGGCGUGCGUAGGCUGUUUCGUAAGUCGUGUGUGAAAGGCGCGGGCUCAACCCGCGGACGGCACAUGAUACUGCGAGACUAGAGUAAUGGAGGGGGAACCGGAAUUCUCGGUGGAGCAGUGAAAUGCGUAGAUAGCGAGAGGAACACUCGUGGCGAAGGCGGGUUCCUGGACAUUAACUGACGCUGAGGCACGAAGGCCAGGGGAGCGAAAGGGAUUAGAUACCCCUGUAGUC
rnacentral:rRNA from 1 species